rnacentral:lncRNA from 1 species
CGCAUAGGACUGACCAAGAUGGGAACAUCCUCCUUCAACAGCUGAAAAACAAGUUAGAUGACGUGAAGUUUCCUUAGGUUUUGCUGAAAGCAUUUCUUAAUUCUUAGUGAAUAUAAAAGCUGAAUACCAAAAUGCUUAUCUCAGUGGAAAUGAAGUAGGCCUAUUUGAAUGGUGUUACGGAAAAUAUAUUUAAUAGAAGAGCAAACAGUCAUUUACACAUUGGUGUGAAGAGUAAU